GGGGAAGUGGCGGAAUUGGCAGACGCGCAUGACUUAGGAUCAUGUGGGGUAACCCGUGGGAGUUCGAGUCUCCCCUUCCCCACCA
rnacentral:tRNA from 1 species